UUUUUUUUAAACCCGAGUUGAUGUGUGUUUUAUAUAGGUUGCACCACUCGGUGUUCAGGAGUAACAUCCCUUGUAACAGUUGUUGUCAACCAAGAUCAUGGAUGGCAUACCAGCUGAUUUUGGUAUAUCUUAUGGUGAAGAGUAGUUCAGGCAAGACCAGUAUGUGGUCCAUAAUACUUGCUAAUUGUAUUGCAAGGGACACAAGAAGAAUAGGUGCAACAAUUUCCUCUUCUGAUGAUUGGGAAAUUACAUUUGAAAGUAUCACAGAUCUCCAGUGGCUGGGAAGUGGAGCUCAGGGAGCUGUAUUUCUUGGCAAACUCUGUAAUGAAGAAGUAGCAGUCAAGAAGGUCAGAGAUGUUAAAGAGACAGACAUUUGGAACUUAAGGAAACUGAAUCACCCAAACAUUAUAGCCUUCAAUGUUCUUGUGGCAUUCAAUGAUAUUGUCAGGAACCAGCCGAGAGUGGAAUGAAAAAAAAAAAGCACUAAAAUGUCAUUUGCUGGCACUGUGACCUGAAUGGCAUCAGAAGUCAUUUGAAAUAAAAUGUGCAGUGAAAUGAAAAAGUAGACAUUUGGAGUGCAAAGCUCAAAAAUAGACCAUCAUUUAGACAAAUUCUCAUGCACCUUGAGAUUGCCUCUGCUAAAUUACUUUGGUUCAGUCGGGAGGACUUUUCUGAAUCUCAAUGAAGUCCUUAACUGAAAGACACAGAUUCUGUCAUUAUCAUCAAGAUAGUCUAAGAUAGGAUCUGAGGUGAGAACAAUUACUGACUAUGUACAAUAACAGUAGUAAGAGUAUAAUUCGUCCAAUCAUAAAAGUUCUAGAAAAGCUAGAUCGACUUGGUAAAAAAAACUGACACAUAGGUCAGAGUCUGAAGUCACCAUGCCUGACUCUAUAAAAAACACAGAAGGGAGCAUGAUAACCAGGUCUAAGCUGGUACCACCACCUCCUACGAAAAUGCGUGCCAGGAAGUCUCGUCAUCGUCACAAAAACAGCAGAGGGUCUAUGAAAGACAUUACCUCUCCGCUCAAAUCUCAAUCUACAUAUGAAGCUUCACUGGACACCCAAACAUCAGAAAAACUAAACCCUGCAGGGCUUCAUCCUACAGACCUAUGCUAAGACAUUAAACUUUUUGGGACCUGCCACUGCAAUCAGGGAGUAUCGAAGUGAAGAUGAAGCUGAUGGGCAAGAGACUAGGUUAACAACAUAAAAAAACGUCAAGUUCGUUGUAGCAAAAACUCAUCCACUUCUGCUGCUAGGCACUCGCCAAUCUCAAAACAUUCUCGUGUAAGUAAAAGCAGAACUCAUCCUAUCAAGACAAUAACUUUAAUGAUGUUUGCUUUGGCUGUGAUGGUGGCUGCAGUGAUGCUACUUAUAGCAGCAAAUGCUCAUCCCAGGUCAGUGUUGAUGUGGAGAACACAUUUGACCUAUGCCCAGCCCAAAACAGAACUUGGAAACUAUGAGUGAAAAAUCCUCUCCGGAUAUUGACCUCUCAUCCUGACCUGAAACCUUUAUUUCAAUGCUGACAUAACAAACAGAUGGUUUGGUUAUUGUUGUAUUUGAAAAACACAAAUGUCUACCAAAAUUGAGGCCCACUUUCUUCAAUUCUUUACAAAGGUAACCUGCAGCAUGUUAAAAGGAUGAAGUUUGUGAUAGGCUUCUUAAAAAGUUGGUUCCAAUAAAAAUUAAACUGAGUUAAUUCAUAAGUAUCAAUUUUAACCAGGUGUAAUAGUUUGUAUUUCAAAUGUCUAAUAAGUCCACUUGGGCAUUAUUUGUUUAUUGGGAGCUCUGUUUGAUUAGCCAGUGCAGUAGGAAUUUUAUCUCUUUCCCAAAAAUGAGCAUUUUAAAAAAUUUCCUUAAAACUUAAAGAUGACUCAUUUUCAAAAGCUAAUUGCAUUCAAGAUUUGGGUGGCAGAGUGGCUUAGCCAAUACGCAAGGAACUACUGCAUCUUGGUAAUAAGCUAAUGCACAGGAAAAUAGUAUUUAUUGACUAUUGCUAACAACCAAUAUAAAAAGGAUUUUCAGCCAGUGCAUGUUUUCAAGAGGGUAAAAUUUCUCUUAAAUAAAUACACACAAUGAUUUUG